rnacentral:rRNA from 1 species
GUGAGGAAUCUUGCGCAAUGGGGGAAACCCUGACGCAGCAACGCCGCGUGAGUGAAGAAGGCCUUCGGGUUGUAAAGCUCUGUCAGGUGGGAAGAAAUAUUUGGUGCUAAUAUCACCGAAAGUUGACGGUACCACCAGAGGAAGCACCGGCUAACUCCGUGCCAGCAGCCGCGGUAAGACGGAGGGUGCAAGCGUUGUUCGGAAUUACUGGGCGUAAAGAGCGUGUAGGCGGUUAAUUAAGUCGGAUGUGAAAGCCCUUGGCUCAACCAAGGAAGUGCACCCGAAACUGGUUGACUUGAGUACGGGAGAGGAGAGUGGAAUUCCUGGAGUAGAGGUGAAAUUCGUAGAUCUCAGGAGGAACACCGGUGGCGAAGGCGACUCUCUGGACCGAUACUGACGCUGAGACGCGAAAGCGUGGGGAGCAAACAGGAUUAGAUACCCCAGUAGUCC